rnacentral:sRNA from 1 species
UUCUCACUGUCAGUCGAAGUUCCCAAGCGUUCAUCUUUAUCAUCAUCACCU